AGAGUUUGAUCCUGGCUCAGGAUGAACGCUGGCGGCGUGCCUAACACAUGCAAGUCGAGCGAGAAGCUUUGAACUGACGCUUCGGUUGAUGAUCAGAGUGGAAAGCGGCGGACGGGUGAGUAACGCGUAGGCAACCUGCCCCUUGCAGAGGGAUAGCCUCGGGAAACCGGGAUUAAAACCUCAUAACGCCUCAUCAAGACAUCUUGGAGAGGCCAAAGAUUUAUCGGCAAGGGAUGGGCCUGCGU
rnacentral:rRNA from 1 species